rnacentral:rRNA from 1 species
CCUACGGGUGGCAGCAGUGAGGAAUAUUGGUCAAUGGACGAGAGUCUGAACCAGCCAAGUAGCGUGAAGGAUGACUGCCCUAUGGGUUGUAAACUUCUUUUAUAUGGGAAUAAAAUGUUCCACGUGUGGGAUUUUGUAUGUACCAUAUGAAUAAGGAUCGGCUAACUCCGUGCCAGCAGCCGCGGUAAUACGGAGGAUCCGAGCGUUAUCCGGAUUUAUUGGGGUUAAAGGGAGCGUAGGUGGAUUGUUAAGUCAGUUGUGAAAGUUUGCGGCUCAACCGUAAAAUUGCAGUUGAAACUGGCAGUCUUGAGUACAGGAGAGGUGGGAGGAAUGCGUGGUGUAGCGGUGAAAUGCUUAGAGAUCACGAAGAACUCCGAUUGCGAAGGCAGCUUACUGGACUGCAACUGACACUGAGGCUCGAAAGUGUGGGUAUCAAACAGGAUUAGAUACCCCUGUAGUC